rnacentral:rRNA from 1 species
UCCGACCGGGAGGAAGGAGUGCUUUUAUUAGAUCAAAACCAAUCGGUGCGUCGGUUCGCUCGUCAUCGUACAACUUGGUGACUCUGAAUAACUUUAUGCUGAUCGCACGGUCUCGCACCGGCGACGCAUCUUUCAAAUGUCUGCCUUAUCAACUGUCGAUGGUAGGUUCUGCGCCUACCAUGGUUGUAACGGGUAACGGGGAAUCAGGGUUCGAUUCCGGAGAGGGAGCCUGAGAAACGGCUACCACAUCCAAGGAAGGCAGCAGGCGCGCAAAUUACCCACUCCCGGCACGGGGAGGUAGUGACGAAAAAUAACGAUACGGGACUCAUCCGAGGCCCCGUAAUCGGAAUGAGUACACUCUAAACCCUUUAACGAGGAUCAAUUGGAGGGCAAGUCUGGUGCCAGCAGCCGCGGUAAUUCCAGCUCCAAUAGCGUAUAUUAAAGUUGUUGCGGUUAAAAAGCUCGUAGUCGAAUCUGUGUCUUGCGCCGCCGGUUCAUCGUUCGCGGUGUUAACUGGCGUGUCGCAGGACGUCCUGCCGGUGGGCUUAGCUCGCAAGGGCGGCCCAACUCAAUCCUGCCGCGGUGCUCUUCACUGAGUGUCGAGGUGGGCCGGCACGUUUACUUUGAACAAAUUAGAGUGCUUAAAGCAGGCUAAAACUUCGCCUGAAUACUGUGUGCAUGGAAUAAUGGAAUAGGACCUCGGUUCUAUUUUGUUGGUUUUCGGAACCCCGAGGUAAUGAUUAAUAGGAACGGAUGGGGGCAUUCGUAUUGCGACGUUAGAGGUGAAAUUCUUGGAUCGUCGCAAGACGGACAGAAGCGAAAGCAUUUGCCAAAAACGCUUUCAUUGAUCAAGAACGAAAGUUAGAGGUUCGAAGGCGAUCAGAUACCGCCCUAGUUCUAACCAUAAACGAUGCCAGCUAGCGAUCCGUCGACGUUCCUCCGAUGACUCGACGGGCAGCUUCCGGGAAACCAAAGCUUUUGGGUUCCGGGGGAAGUAUGGUUGCAAAGCUGAAACUUAAAGGAAUUGACGGAAGGGCACCACCAGGAGUGGAGCCUGCGGCUUAAUUUGACUCAACACGGGAAACCUCACCAGGCCCGGACACCGGAAGGAUUGACAGAUUGAGAGCUCUUUCUUGAUUCGGUGGGUGGUGGUGCAUGGCCGUUCUUAGUUGGUGGAGCGAUUUGUCUGGUUAAUUCCGAUAACGAACGAGACUCUAGCCUGCUAACUAGGCGUAUUUUGACAUCGCAAAGGCCCGCCGGUAUCGGGGUUCGCUCCUUUAUCGUGCGCGGUUUUUACUGUCGGCGUACAAACAAUUCUUCUUAGAGGGACAGGCGGCUUCUAGCCGCACGAGAUUGAGCAAUAACAGGUCUGUGAUGCCCUUAGAUGUUCUGGGCCGCACGCGCGCUACACUGAAGGAAUCAGCGUGUCCUCCCUGGCCGAGUGGCCCGGUA